rnacentral:rRNA from 1 species
CCUACGGGGGGCUGCAGUGGGGAAUAUUGCACAAUGGGCGCAAGCCUGAUGCAGCCAUGCCGCGUGUGUGAAGAAGGCCUUCGGGUUGUAAAGCACUUUCAGCGGGGAGGAAGGCGUUAAGGUUAAUAACCUUGGCGAUUGACGUUACCCGCAGAAGAAGCACCGGCUAACUCCGUGCCAGCAGCCGCGGUAAUACGGAGGGUGCAAGCGUUAAUCGGAAUUACUGGGCGUAAAGCGCACGCAGGCGGUCUGUCAAGUCGGAUGUGAAAUCCCCGGGCUCAACCUGGGAACUGCAUUCGAAACUGGCAGGCUAGAGUCGUGUAGAGGGGGGUAGAAUUCCAGGUGUAGCGGUGAAAUGCGUAGAGAUCGGGAGGAAUACCGGUGGCGAAGGCGGCCCCCUGGACAAAGACUGACGCUCAGGUGCGAAAGCGUGGGGAGCAAACAGGAUUAGAUACCCUUGUAGUC